rnacentral:rRNA from 1 species
UACGGGGGGUGCGAGCGUUGUCCGGAAUCACUGGGCGUAAAGGGCGCGUAGGUGGUCUGAUAAGGGUGUGGUGAAAGUCCGGGGCUCAACCCCGGAUCUGCCGUGCCGACUGUCAGACUCGAGGACUGUAGAGGCAGGCGGAAUUCCGGGUGUAGCGGUGGAAUGCGUAGAGAUCCGGAAGAACACCAGUGGCGAAGGCGACUUACUGGACACAUAUUGACGCUGAGGUGCGAAAGCGUGGGGAGCAAACAGG